GUGUGUUACCUCUGGAGCAAACGUGUCGUGCAAUCAAAGCAAUACAAGGUAAUACUUCUCAUAUUGGGUGUCCUAACUGAGCACUGAACACUACAUGUACUGUUGUUGACCAACAUUAUUGCACAACCUUCGCUUCUUCGGACACCAGUCGAAGCGGUCAAACCAGAAUAUAGUUCGGACGUCUGACCGGUCGGUGUAAAGCAAGCUUCUGGAAUAGGAGAGCUUUUGGAUUUCGAUUGAAAGCUAGCUGUGUAGAUCGAGAAUAUAACUUUGAAGGAAUUAUGAAGCGAGGGGCGUGUUUGAUUCUUCUAUUUACCUUGCUCUUGUUGGGCUUCAGUGACGGGGCCCCAUACCAGGCACGGGAUGGAGAGCUGUCUCACCGUAAUCAGCAAGGAUAUGCCAAAAAGACGGAAAUGAAGUUGUCACCACUUCUUCUCAAGAUGAAGCAAGAAGCUGAUACUAUUCUUGGCCAGCGGUCCAAAAGAUCACCUUCCAGAGAGAUGGUUAGAAAAUAAAAAUAACGUUUUUAUUUCUUUCUCAAUACUCCUGUGUCAUCAUCUGCAGCAAGCACUCAUCUCUUUCAACGCAACGUGGAACAUAAUCAUGGGGAUAUCGUUCAGAAUCAGAGGCGGAAUGGUAAUAAAUUGAAAUUUGGUUUGGGAAUUUUUAUAUGACCGACCCACUCAAACUAUAAGAUUUUGAUUAACCGGUCCUCAAAUAGGAUCAGGGGAGACUGGUUAUUAAUUUAAAUUUUGUUGGGGAUUUAAACGCGACAGACCCACUAAAACUUAAAGGAUGUGAUCAACCGGCCCUCAGACCACAAACGGACAAGCCCACAA